UGACCACGCCGUAAAACCCCCUACUUCUCAAGGUUGACCUCGGAUCAGGUAGGAAUACCCGCUGAACUUAAGCAUAUA
rnacentral:rRNA from 1 species